AGGAGAGAGGAGGGAGGAAGAAGAAGGGAAGAGAGAGAGAGAGAGAGAGAGAGAGAGAGAGAGAGAGAGAGAGAGAGAGAGAGAGAGCUGACAGACGGAAUACCCGGAGAGGUUCCAGCACAUAGCGAGUAUCUCUGUGUUUGAUUUUGGGGGAGAAAAGCUUGGAAGAACACAAAGAUUACAUAGAGAGAAAAGAAGAGAGAGAGAGAGAGAGAGAGAGAGAGAGAGAGAGAGAGAGAGAAGAGUGCAGAGGAAAAGACGAGAAGGAGAUCCCUUUUUUUCUUUAACAAGAAAAAAUUCCUAUUCGUUUUCUUUCUACUCAAGCAGAUUCUCAUUUCGUGUUGUUCCUUCAAUUACUUCAUCCAUUUCUCGUAAUAACAUCUUCCAAAGGCAGCUUCCUGUCCAGUACUAGACGCUCUCACCGAGGGGGAGGGUUUUCGGAAAAAUUCUGAGAGAAGAGAGAGGUGAAGGAGAUAACCGAAGAUCAAGUCACUUAACCGGUCAUUCUGUUAUCUGUGUACUUGCAGAUUUGAAGCUCUCGUACUGCGGUGGGUACUUUCCAGCUUUGCUACUAGCUGUAAAUUUUACGGCUCCAUCGUAUAAUCGUAUCAUCCUCAGUUGAUGAUUUUCUGUUAUUAGGCAGUUGGAUUCUCUUUUCAACAUGAACAACUCAUAUGGUGAAGAACAUGAUGAAGCAGUUGUUAUGGGAUUCGAAGUUCCAAAAUCUCCAGAUUCAAGUUACAAUAAUGUGUACCCUGGAAUGAGAUGAGCACGAGACCCUCUCUGGUUCCCCUCACUGCAGCAUACCUUGCUCAGCUACCCAGCAGCAUGGACA